GAUGAACGCUGGCGGCGUGCCUAAUACAUGCAAGUCGAGCGAACGGACGAGAAGCUUGCUUUUCUGAUGUUAGCGGCGGACGGGUGAGUAACACGUGGAUAACCUACCUAUAAGACUGGGAUAACUUCGGGAAACCGGAGCUAAUACCGGAUAAUAUUUUGAACCGCAUGGUUCAAAAGUGAAAAACGGUCUUGCUGUCACUUAUAGAUGGAUCCGCGCUGCAUUAGCUAGUUGGUAAGGUAACGGCUUACCAAGGCAACGAUGCAUAGCCGACCUGAGAGGGUGAUCGGCCACACUGGAACUGAGGCACGGUCCAGACUCCUACGGGAGGCAGCAGUAGGGAAUCUUCCGCAAUGGGCGAAAGCCUGACGGAGCAACGCCGCGUGAGUGAUGAAGGCCUUCGGAUCGUAAAACUCUGUUAUUAGGGAAGAACAUAUGUGUAAGUAACUGUGCACAUCUUGACGGUACCUAAUCAGAAAGCCACGGCUAACUACGUG
rnacentral:rRNA from 1 species